AUUGAACGCUGGCGGCAGGCCUAACACAUGCAAGUCGAGCGGAUGAAGGGAGCUUGCUCCUGGAUUCAGCGGCGGACGGGUGAGUAAUGCCUAGGAAUCUGCCUGGUAGUGGGGGAUAACGUCCGGAAACGGGCGCUAAUACCGCCUACGUCCUGAGGGAGAAAGUGGGGGAUCUUCGGACCUCACGCUAUCAGAUGAGCCUAGGUCGGAUUAGCUAGUUGGUGGGGUAAGGGCCUACCAAGGCGACGAUCCGUAACUGGUCUGAGAGGAUGAUCAGUCACACUGGAACUGAGACACGGUCCAUACUCCUACGGGAGGCAGCAGUGGGGAAUAUUGGACAAUGGGCGAAAGCCUGAUCCAGCCAUGCCGCGUGUGUGAAGAAGGUCUUCGGAUUGUAAAGCACUUUAAGUUGGGAGGAAGGGCAGUAAGUUAAUACCUUGCUGUUUUGACGUUACCAACAGAAUAAGCACCGGCUAACUUCGUG
rnacentral:rRNA from 1 species